AUCCAGCUUCUGAAACUACUUAAAAAGCUUUCGAUCAAAGAUGUACAGUGGUGCUGACAGAACACAGAAGAGUUUUCGCUGGGGAAAGCCAUCAUUAAUUAUCAGACUGUGUAGAAAUAGAAGGAAACAUGAACAGAAUGGAAGAAGUCAGUGUGAGAAAGCAUCAGCGCCACAGGAGCCUGCUGAGCCUUCUGCCAACACCACUGCUGAGUUGUCUGCAGUUGUCUGGCCCAUCUUGUCUCUUCAAGGCUGCCCUUACCCCUCAGAUUUCCUGCCAUCCCAGCCUGGUGCCUGUCCAUCCAUUCAUCCAUCCAUCCCCACUUUUUUUCUAUAUCUCACUUUCCAAAAUCACGUCACGGUGGGUUUCUGCCAUCCUCCCCAAAAAGGGGAUUUUCAUUUUGAUAAAGGUCUGCACUCAAAGACAAACACCUUGCCACACAAGAAAACAGUGAUACUGCCUUGCCAAGAUGGAAGGAUGGAUUUUGGAGAACCUCACCUCGCUCACACGUCCUGUGCCUGCAUGGGUGCCUGUGGUUUUGCAACCUAGCAGCCGGCAACAGCUGAUAUUUUUAGUGCUGCCAGACACUCGAUACCUGCCAAGGUCACUUGCUGACAAAAGCGAUGAUGAGCCGGCGUGGCAGCAUGUAACAACCCCACCACUUCCCAGCAAUCGGCUUGAACGUGCGUGCUGCCACUUGCCAAGGCGAGACGUGAACAGCGAGGAACGACAGCGGCUGCCGUGCGGGCUGCUGCCUCUGCCCCUCACUCCCUGCUCCGUGCAUGGUGGUGUCACAUCCCAGCAGAUGCUGCCCAAAGAGUGGCAGAAGCUGCAGAACGCUUUGUGCUGAGAGGAAUGGGGUUUGCAGGGAUGCUGCCAGAGCAAUAGCUGCUGUCUCUGUUUGGGACCCAGCAUGAUCCCAUCACUAGUUUCACCGAUGGGGAGACAAAACCUGGACAAGCACACGUGUUGGAAAAAAUGGAAAGCUUGAUUUGUUUUUCUCUAAGCCCUGUGCAAUGAAUGCCACAGAGGGAAAAAAGCAGGAUUGUCAGAGUUGUGAGAGAAAACCAUCUCUCUCUUCUUUUUCCACCAGCCCAGGUGGUUAAAAUGGGUACAGAGGAAGAGAGGGGGGCUUACAUGUAUGUCCUCUGCCCGUGGAUGGCAGCCCGCACUGGUCACAUGCAAGCAGUGGGCUGCACCCACCAGGCUGGCCUGUUGGGUACAGUAAGUCUUGUCUGCUAUUUAUCUCAUUCCCCCCAUGGACAAAUCUCCUGUUGAGCUCUCACUCUGAUGGUUUAGGCAGAUAAAAACCUGUCUGCAAGUUCAGAGCCAGCCCAGAUGAUGCUGGGUGGGAGAUGCGUCCAUGUCUGUGCUCAGCCACUGCAACAAGCAAACUCCAAAUGGAGGUGACAGUUUCAUGGGGAGCAGUGAACUGGUACGACAGCCCUUCUCCACUGCCCAAACAGCACGCUCAUAACAGAUUUUUCACUUCAAGUGCCUUCUACAAGUGUUAAUGAACUAACCCUUAUGAUAGCUCACAGGAGAUGUCUCCAGCAGAGCAGGAUGCAGGCUGAAGAGCCACACACCUCCCUCUGCUUGCGGGCUGGUGUGUGUGGGUGUGUGUCAGUAUGUGCUUGCACACUCAUGUGUUUGUGCACUUGUGCAUGUGGCUCAAAGAGCUGCCAAGAGUUAGUGAAUCACUAUUUGAAACAGUGCAGAUCAGAAGAAGACCACGUUUCUUCCAUCUUUAAAUCAAAUUAGUGGGUAAGAAAGGUAAACCAAGGCAUGGGUUCAUCGCAUUAAGAUCUUAAAGCCUGGAGCGAGCAUCAGAUGAUGAAGGCAGAGCUCGAGUGGCACAUACCAGACAAUUCCAUCCAGUUGCAGAUUAAUGGCUCUGCUAAAUGACUUUAAACCUAAUGACAUGUAACAUGCAAAGAUCAGGCUGCUCAGUAUCGCAAGAAAAAUAGCAAUAAUGAUCGCUUAUACAAAAUAAACCUCCGGAGGAUCAAUGCCA
rnacentral:lncRNA from 1 species